CGGGCAGCCCCGCGGUCAGCGCGGUGCCUGUGAGGCAGGACAGGCUGCACAGCCAGCCCCCAGCCUGCACCACAGGCCUGCUCCCCUGAGCCAUGGAGCCCUACAGCCAGGGUGGAAAAGCCUGGUGCGUCCAGCUGGAGUCCAGUUUUCUCCUAAGAUCUUGAACUUCAGUGUGAGAACUUGGCUUUACUUUGGUCACUGAAAAUCAAUCCAGUUGACUUUAGAGAGGCUUUGACCCAGGAGAGAAAAGGAUAGGGUUCUUUUGCUGGCCUAAACCAGGCUCUCAGGAGACAGAGAGCAAAAAUGAGAAAAGUGAAGAGCAGUAAGUAAGCCCUGUAUUAUACCACGAAACUCCAUGACUCUUCGUGGCUCUAGCAUACGUCAGUGACUCCAGGCUGCAGGACGUUUGCCAGCCUUGCUAUGGCUGCCUGAGCAUGGCUGCAGUGCUGCUGUUCCAAGCAAGAUGCAAAAACAAACCCAUGUUGUGCUAGAGAAGACACAUCCACUACUGCUGCCACCACUGCCGACCUUCUCAGCUGCACUUGGUACUCAGACCUUAGCCAGGCUCUUGAAGCCCACGCUAGCAAGAUGGGAUUUGCCACUUCGCAGCAGCUUUAGGCAUGCACCACAAGCAUUAGGGAGACACCCCUCUCCCCCUGCAGAGACCCAUUGUUAGCCAUUUCAUGGUAAAAACUGUCCUUACAGCACUGUGCCAGAAUACAGCAUAGGCACUGUAUCUCUAUAUCCACUCCUGGAUUCCUAUCCCCAUGUGCUCUUCAUCUCCUGGACACGGAUAGUGCCAGAGUCCCAGCCUGGAAUUUAUCUCAUGAAAGUUUAAAUGCGUAAAUGUCAUAUCUCAGUUAUUCCCCCUUUCUAACUUGUGGAGAGCAGUACUGUGCUGUUUUGCCUUUUUCAACUUGGCUUUCUGGGGUGUUUACUGUGGACAUCUACCUACAACUGUAACAAAGUUCACAAAAUUAAGCAAUGCCAGGGCUAUCUGUAUCUUUGAACUGCAGAAAGGGAGGAAGGUUCAGCAACUAGUAAUACCAGAGUUCAGGGCAAAACUUUCUUGUUCGUGUUUUCCUCAUGCUUCCAAGCAGUUCCCUAGCCAGUUUCAAGCUAAAACAUAUGUGAUAUGUAUAAGAAAAUACAUAUUGUUUGACUACAGUACACAAUUUUUAGGAAUAUGAUUUCUGGAUGACUACAGUACAUGAGUUCUGCAAGUCAUCACAAAGUCCAAGCUCAUUCAAAUGCAAUACUUACAUUUCACUUAUAUAUACAUAGGUGUUUAAGUCACAUUUACUACAUAAAAGCUGUUUUUGACAAUUUGAGAAAUGUUGCAUUCUACUCUUUUGGGAUUUUAAUAUAAUUCUUAUUUAAAACAAAACCUAAACAUAGCUGGUUUAGAAGCCAGAAAACAUCCCAAGAUGGUCUAACCUUCCUUUCUAAACUCUCAGGGCCUACCAAUAGAAAGGUGAGGUCCAACCCUACAAGGGAAAGGAAAUAUUCUGUCUCUAGCCAAACUCAAUUCUCAUUGAUAGCAAACCCACUUUGAUUUGAAAUACUGACAUGGAUAGGAAAGCUGUUUGUGGUUUGGCAUGUAAGUUAGUCAAUGUAGAUCUUUGUCCAAAGAAAAUGUGUAAGAGAGAAAAGCAAAGUACUUUUGGAAAAUACACUUAUUUUAAAAACUGACAGCUGCUUGAAUCAACUGUAAGUCAGUUCAAGAAAUACCAAGAGUCUUAGAGGAAGCAGAAGAUUGUGUGCAAAUGCAUGCUAAAUUAAUUUAUAAUUUGUCAUUAUGAUUUAUUGUAGAGAUUUUAUGUCCCCAGGGAUGACAUAGCAAAAAUAGAAGAAGGACAGAACUGAUGACAAAGACAUUCAUACAUGGAAAAAUACUGUUAUGAAGAUGGAUGGACACAAUGCUUUAAACCAGAAAUAAAUACAAGGAAAUGGAAUAAAUGUACACAGAAAAAGACUGGAAAGAUGGCUAGAACUAAUAGAAUUGCUUCUUCUCAUCAGAUAUAAACAAGGAAACAUCCAUUUAGACAAAAGAUAAUGCAUUUAUAACUGAAAAAGGAAAUAGAUGUUUUUCAACAGUGUAAUUGCACACUGUGCAAAUUCAUUUCUGAAGAAUGCCAUUGAAGUUGUAUUCAAGAAACAGAAACUUCAUGAAGAUAACAAGAGCAUCAGGUAGCACAAGUAAGCCCCAAAAAACUAAUAGGGUAAGGCUUAGAUUUUAAGCGUUAUGCUAAUUUUCACAAGCUAAAUUUUAAUAAAAUGAAAAUAUAUUCCAUUAUUUUCCACUACAGGAUUUCUUGCUGUAAUGUACAUCAAAUUGGCAGUGAUCUCUAUGGGAAAUAGAAUAUUACAUAAAGCACACCACUAACUAACCUCUCUGCUCUUACACCCCUUUUCUUUUUUAUAAGCAUUUUCAAAAACUUUUCCCAGACAGAGAAAAGUUAAAAUAAAAUUACCUGAAACAGUGCCGUUCCCUGCAAUAUGUACACUGGAUACAAGUGCACUCGGAACAUUGCACAAGAUUUCAUAGUCUGCAGGAAACAAAUGUCAUAAUCCAAAGCAGAUGAACUUCUCUGUUCUUUGAGGUAUGCUGUAUUUUAUAUUAUGUUGGUCACAAACUUUUUCAAGAAAUCUAGUGCAGUUAAAACUUUAAUUACCAAAAUCUAACAAAAAUGAACAAUUGGUAGAUUAACUUUUGAAUAUUUAAGCCACAGAGUAUGUAGUUCAACUCAUGAGAAUACUCUCGUGAGGUUGGCCAGACUCACUUAAGAAGAGCAAAUGUAAUCAAACAUGCAUCAUCUUCUAGACUACUCAGUGAUCUUUUUUGCAGAGAGCUAAACCUAAUGAAACUUUCCCAGCAUUUUAUUUAAGUCAACAGUAAAACUUUGAUUGCAGAUUCAGGCCUUCUCUGCCUGGUGAACUGAUGAUCUCAGCCUGAGAUAUUUUCAUGGAUAUACCAGCACUCCAAACAGGCAAAGAUCUCCAGGUGGGGCCUUUGUUUUGUAGUUCCACAAUUAUCUGAAGGAAACAAGGUGUGCUAGGGGGAAGGGGGGGGACUGUUUCUCCCCCACACAGCUAUCUACCAGAGCAGCAGCUCUGACCCUGAGUGACAUCUCUGGACUGCAGGACUCUGCUGGACUAUAGCAGACAUGGCCUCAGUUUUCUUUGGAGGUCCAAUUCUUACCUGUAGUUUUGAUCUAAAGUUACAGCACAAGGACACUGAAGAGCUCAGGGCUCACCUCCAAGUUCUCUUCUUGCUCAGAGCAUUGUGAGGCCAUUAGUCACAACAAAAAAAAAAAAAACAAAAAAAAAUCCAAAAAGAUGGACAGCAAAAAGAAAUUGGCAAAGAAAAAUAUGGUAGAAACAUCCCAGUUCAGCAGUUCAGUGCUUAUUCUGCUGGUUAACAUCAGCAGUGGGAAGAUAACAAAGGAAACUACUCAGUGUGAAGGAGGAAUCUCAAGGCACCAGCAUAUGACUCUCCUGGGACCAAUUAUUCCUCAAGUAUUUCUCAGUGAUGCAGUAAGCACAUAAGCUUUCACUAGGCCCUACAGAAAGGAGCAAAGAUUUUUUAAUUAAGUCCUGUUUAAACCAUGUUAGCUGUCUUUCUCCCUUUUAGAGCCAGGUGCUAGCCCAACCGUAACCACCCAUUCAAGCCCUUUGAGCAGAAGGGGCUGGAGGAAAAAAAAUAUAAGAAUGCGAAGUGAUUCCAGAGAACAAAACAAAACAAAACAAAAAAGAUUAAAAGGAAAAUGUGUGAGUGUGUCAGACUCAAAAGUAGAUUGAUGGACACUGGAGGAGGGCAGCCCCCAACAACAUCAGUCACUCCUGGAAAGUGUCCAGGGAAGCCAUGGUUGCUGCCCCCCUGAGCUCUCUUUGUCAGCAUGAGAAGAUGAAGGACUGGAAGCAGAUGAUGCGGUUGGCAGGAUACCCUCACUGAGUUUAUGUCUCAUGGUGGUGUAAAAGGCCGCUUUGGCUGUAACCAGGAGGAGACUGAUGAAUAGGUCUUGUGUUUACUGCCCAUUGUGUUAUAAACAUCUCAAGUAGUCAUUAAGGAAAAUGUGUUGGAAGAAUAAAUACUCUUUAAUCUAGGCAAAAAUGAAAUACUGUUUGCAGUGAGCUAGCUUGCUUUUUUAUAUGUCAUGUAUGAUUUAAGACAGAAUUUUGUUUAUUUGUAACUUCUAUUCUUCCCUGACAUUUAAAAUGUUCUUUAUUUGUUGUACUAAUAAUGGGCUUCAGAUGUGAGAAAACAAAUUACAUACUUCUUUUGUAGUGUGACUUCAGUGCAAUGAUCUGAAAGUACUUACUUACAUACUAGUGAAUUAAUCCUGACAACAUAUUAGUCAAGAAAAAAAAAUCUUCAUAGCUGAAAACUCCAGCUUACCUUUUUUUUGCCUCUUUUUCAAAGUUUGCUGUUACUGGAUUAAAACAACAAAUCAUGAUUAAUAAUAAAGCACUAUCUAUACUUGAAGCCAAAAUAUACAGAUUUCCUAGCAAGCACUGUCAGAUCUUUUACUAAACAAGCAGCAACAUCCUGAUUUCACGUUCUUGCUGUUUAUGCACUAGCCCACUUUCUUUGCCAAUUCCACAUCUACACUAACAAUCACUGCUGCAGAACUGUCACCAAGUAGUCAUGGAUUGUGUAUCUACAAAUAAAUUUUUUUAAAGUGAUCAAAACUUCAAAAUAUUCUCAUCCAAGUGAUACAACCUUCCCAAAGCCACAGAAGUUUUUAUCAAGCCUACAGAAGAAUAGGAACAUAAAUGUUGCUUCAUUUAUAUAUUUCUUAACAAUUUUCCAGUUCCACAAUGCCCUGUUCCCUCAGAGCAAUUGUCCCAUUGUGGUUUUGUUUUCUAUUGCUUUGCAUCGAUCAAAGUAAUAUGAAAACUUCACAUCUGAGAAAGACUUUUUAUUUUCUCCACUGCUAGCACAAAUCACAGGCAGGCAGUCAUUGCCUUACAUAAUUUGGGAAGACACCUAAAUACCAUGCUUCUGUCUGAAGAGAAAUAGUGUGAAUAUCCUCAUGCUGGAGAGAAGGGAAGGUGUAAGGCUGUUUAUCAUGCAGCUGUAGCAAUAGCCAGGUUUGUGGGGAAUACAGAAGAGAUGCAAACUAGGGAAUGAGAAGCAAUAUUGCUGAAAGACAAACAUCCUUCUGGAACAGUAAAGGGAUAUUUGUUUCAGUAUGGCUGAAUCAGGCCAAAAGUCCAUUUGCCCUAGCAUCCUGUCUCUGACAAUGAUGUUUAAGAAAAGAAACAAGGCAUGGAGUAAGUUUGGUGUGGUACUUCCCAUGGCAUGUCCUGCCAACAUCAGCUUUCUUUUCUAGAGACUAUAUCAGCAUCUUUGGUUUUAAAAAGCCUGAUGGACUUCUAUUCCAUGAGUUUUCACUAUGGGUUCAACUUUUCUCCAUAAAAUGUAUUUACUUCUAUUUUUUUUUUCUUUUUAAAUGUAAUGAGAAAGAAAACCACACAGAAAACUUUGCUUUUAUGCAGGAGAAGUUAGGAAUGUUAAUUGCUUGAUGGGAAAUAUUAUGUGUCACCUGGUCGUGUUCCUAUCGGUGGAACAGUGCCCUCCACUGCAAAAACUCCCCCUCUGUGUCACUGCAGGACAGCUCUGUGCCCAUGUGAGCUGCCCCUUAGUUUCCACCCAUCUCUGCCCACAGCCAGGGUGCCCAGCAUUCAGGUGUGCUUUUGCUCAAGCAUAGAUCUUCAGGGGAUGAUGUAAUCUACAGUAAUUUAACUUUCUAUUGCUGGCAAAGGAUAAAGGUCAAGUCCAAACAGCCCAUUAAGCAUCUCAAGUGUUAUUGUUAUUAUGUGAUACAGACACAUAAUCUCCUGCCCUUUUAAACAUUUGUCAAUCUAUAAUCUGUAACUAUGAGAAUGCCAUUGGAGUCAGUCUGAGAAAUGUAUUGGUUUCUAUUGUAAGAAAAUAUGCAAUUAUAUAUAAUAUAGAGGCAUACUAUGGAUAAUGCAAUCAAAGGCACUGAGAAAAUUAAAAGAUGGAAUGGCAUUGGAAAAAGUAUAAAUACUAGCUAAGCAACCAAACUGUCCCAAAUGCCUAACAGAUGGACUUAGAGCUAUGGCUCAUGAAAUUAUGACCAUGUAUUUUUCAUAGAAUUCCAUAGAAAAAAACUUGUUAUUCAUGAAAGUUGAAAAUUUAAAAUUAUUUAAAUGCAAGGUAUUGUCAUCUCAAAAAAAUUGCACAUGAAUCUCUUAUUCAGAACAAAAAAUUUUGCAAUUAAGAAUUUUGCUUACUGUACUUUGGAAGUCUUUAAAAUGUGGAUUAAAUUAUAUUUACUCCUUGCAUAUAUAGUUUUCCUGUUGAUUUGACCUUGAUUUCAGUUUGUUUACUUUGCUUCUGAUAUAUGCAAAAUUAAAGUAAAGGUGCUUUUAUUCUGAAGCUGUGUCCACACAGGAUUAAAGGCAGUUUUACUAAUACACUUCCAAAUCACACCAGUAGGUGUUUCAGAUAAUUUUCCUGAAUGCUUCUAUAUAAUCAAGGCUGGUGUGACAUGCUUGGGAGACUGCUGUAGUCCUGGAUAAUGAGAGUUAGGAAGAGAGCUAUAAAUAUUUCUACAAAAGUUAUUACUCAGUUUUGAUUAUUAAUUAGUUUUCUAAUAAAGUAUGCAGGAGUCAGUGGCAUUUGCCUAAAUUUGCCUGGAGUAUUUGCCAUUCAUAUUAAUUUUCUUUAGUAUGAAAAAAAAACGUUCCCAUGCACAGGCUAAUGAUGCAAGAUGGGGUUUGUUUUUUUUUUUUUUCCUAUGCUUAGACCAAGUGGCUGAAACCUUGACCUCAUUGAUGUCAUUGAUAAAGUUUUCCCUGACUUUAGCAGCAGUGUAUUUUAAUUCAAAAUAACUUCAUACAGAAGAGAGAGGGAAAAAACCUGUGUAUGUGCAGUGUAGAAAUAUCAAUGUAAUCUAAAGAGGUAUUUUAUCAGAUUAGUUCUUGGUUUCUCUCUCAUGCCUUUGACAUCAGUAUUAAAAAGAGAUUUUGCUGUCCAGUUAAAUUUCACAAGAGAAAGAUGCACUUCAGUUGGUUCCAAACCUAGUUAAAGGAGUGAUUUUUUUUUUUUUUCAUGUCUCUGUCCUCUUGAUCAUAGCAGUGCCUAGCCUAAAAGGAGACCUUUGGCUUGCCCCAUUUCUUCUGACAGAGACUUAUCUAAAAUGCUACUGAACAAUUAUUUGAAAUGAAGGGCAUAAAAAAUCUAGUGGAUGUUGGAGCAGGGUCUUAAAUUUUGUUUUGGUAUUAUUUAACUGAUUGUGUAGAUUAUUUAAAUUUAGAAAACCUGUUUAUAGAAAUUUAGAAAGCUGUUUACGUGGCUGAGUCUUUUCAGUUUUCAUAGAAUCAUUAAGGUUUUCUUGUCUCUAAUCUCAGCUUCAAUAACAAUAGUUUUCUUAGCAUUUGGCUAUUCCAAAAGUAGAACUAAAAACCAAGUGCUUCCAAAAUCAUCAAGUUUUCACAAAUCAGUUGCUGCCUUUUGUUGUUCUCAAGGCACUAGCAUGUAAAGCCAGUGUGGAUCCCCAAAGAAACUGGCAGCUUGCUACUUUACAAUUUCCUCAUGUAUCCCCAGUGAGAUGUAACUCUACAAUAAUCUAGAUCUUCCACCUUUUACAGCAUCUAAAAUUUUAGAUCCAAGUAAAAUUUUCCCCAGCUGUUCAUUAAUAGCAUGCUCAGCUUUACUUAACAGAAAGGUCUCCUGUAAAGCAGAUACAGGUGAGAGUUACUUUCUGAAAGCUUACAUUGCUUUUUGUGUGUUAUGCUUAGUGUGGGCCAGGUACCAGAGACUAUGUCCCUUACGUUGGGCAGUAAGGGAAUAUAAAGCUUGCUUUAGCCACCAGGGGCUUAUGCCAAUAUAGGAAUUCAGUUUAAGCUAAAGCUGGAGAGAUUUAUACUGGCUGAGAAUUUGCUUAUGCUUUAAGAAGCUUACUUUUAUUUAGAGAGUUCAGAGAUUUUAGGAAAGGCUUCAGUUAAAAGAGUUUAUAUUUUGUAGAUAUAUUUGCAUAACAGUACUUAUUUUUCAUAAGAAUUUUGUAACUUAAAUUUGCAUAGCUUUUAUUUAGAUUUAAAAUAAUAUAAUUUAAUUUUUUCUAUAGCUUUCCCUGCCUUUAUUUCAUCCACUAUUGAUGAGUUUGCAUGUUCACCUAUUACAGUUCUACUGUAAAAUUACUAACUUCUUUGAAAUUCCACUGUAUCUUCCUCCUGACCUUCGUAGUCUCAAUACAUACUUUACAUAAAUCCUUUGCUUUUCAUACCAUAGUAGUUUACUAUAUACUUCUCUAUUUGGUCAGGAAUUUAUAUUUCUUGCAAACAACAAAAAGAAAAAAAAAAUCAGUUACUUGGAACCAAGAAAGUCAUAUGCUUCAGGAAAGGUGAAGAUUGAUAUCAAAAUGAAUAAACUUACAUUUCCUAUGAGGGGAAAUGUUUAGAUUCAGAAAUAGCAUUGCCUGCUGUGCCUUAUAUUGUGUCUGAUGUGCUGUUGUAUAGUACUGUAAUCUCAUAAUUCUCCUUUGCAAAACUGUUUUUAAAACUUCAUCUUGAUUUGGUAAUUCCACAUUAACCUCAAUGUUGAAGGUAAGCAGCCAUUGUGUGUGCCUACAAAGUCAGUCAUCCUUUUGCUUAAGAACAACCUAGCAAGUAAAAUGCCCUUUGCAUUUCAGAACAAAUAGCAUCAAUUUAGCUGUCCUGUGCAAGGUUUCUGGAUGAGUUCAGUAGCAUAGGAGCCUGCAGUUGAAAAUUUGCUGCUGCCUUCAAAGGCAAGUAUUGAAAUGUUUCAGAUAGGACAUGAUAGCUCAGCUACCAAAUUAAUCUAUUUUUACAUGAUAAAUUUUGAUGAUCUUCUUUUGUGUUCUUUGCGAAGAAAGGCUUGGCAUCUUGGUGCAAAAUUGCACCACAUCUUUCUUGUAUACUUGAUGAAAACCCAUAGUGAGGUAAUUUCAGAGGAAAGGCAGCACAUCCCAUUAACCUGUGCUGGGAUUUGGGUAUCUGGUGUUCUGCUAAAUCCUAGUUUUUAAUCAAGAAAGAGUGCUUUCAUCACACUUUAAGCUAAUCACAAGCUCCCUAAGUACAGAGUCUGCAAGUUCCCUGCUCUGCAGCAUCCCUGGGUGUCACAGUGCCUGGUUCUUGGGGAUGGGAAGCUGCCACUUAGGCCCUCAUCAGCCCAGUAUUAAGAAGAAAACAAUCUCAUUUUUGCUAGUCUCCUGCCUGUCCCUCAGUUAGUCUUUUCAGUCUGCACAGAUGCAGCAAGGGUGAUGUCCUCUGAUGGGAGACUAAGCACAGAGACCCAAGGGUGGCACAUCAAUUCCCAGUUUUUUCAGUGACCAGUGUGCCCAUCUUACAAGUAUUCAUCAUGCUACUGAGAAGAUUUGCACAACAGACAGGACCUGAGCCCAGAAAAAUGAGGAAUUCCUUUCAUGAUGCUUCUAUAAACAUCUGGUUUCUGCCUAGCAGAGGUCUUGUGCCUCUUCACCGCCACUGCAAGAAAGAAUGAGAAUUGUUUAGGUGACAGGUACUUGAAUGUAUUAAAUGUUACAUUUUUUUUUUAAUUACUUGAUCCUUGUGUUCUUUAGAGAUCUGGAGGCAUAAUUUCACUGUGUUAUUUUUAAAGACUUGGACAUUACAAUAUCUCUGCCAUAAGCGUAACAACUAGGCAAAAAAAAAAAAAAAAAAGAAAUUUCUUAACCUAAUUACAUAAAAGUCCAAAGAAAUUCUGCAGGUCAUACAUAUAUGUAGAUUUUCUCUAUUAAACAAGCCUGCAGGGAAACGCCUGAGAAAAGUUGUGAAUUAAACUAGCAUAAGAAUAAACGGAUUUACUCAAUAAAAAUACCCAUUCUAGUGCUAACCCCCUCCUAUGAAAAAAGCCACUGGCAUUUUUCCUGAGGGUCUGUGGAAAUAUGAAUGCAACACUAUUAAAAUCUAGGUUUGUUUGUUUGUUUGUUUGUUUUUUCUUUCAGUACUAUCCUAAGCAGGUGUUUCGGUGCAUCUGAGUCAGGGAAUAGCUUAGAGAAACCUCAUGCCCAAAAGAGAUUUGAGGUUUUUUGUUUGUUUAUGGGGGUUUUUAAUUGCUUUCUGAAAGCAGGAGAAGUUAAUAAUGUUGCAUAAUCUUAGAUGAGAAGCACCAUGUCUAAAUUGUACAAACACAGCUGGAGGGUGACUUAGAUGGUGACUACUCCUUAUCCAUCCUUAUUGGUGGAGCAGCUGCACUUCCCACAGGUAAUUCCUUGGUAUACUUACUAGGAGGAUACAGAUUAUGAUCCAUUUCCCUCCAGAAAUAAAGCAUAGCCUAAUUGAAUAUUGGUUUCUUGUAGUUCCACAGCCCAUGUUUUUGGAGGAGUUUGUCACUAUUCCUGUAGAACUACAUCUUUCCAGGUAUACUGGAAAUAUAUACUAUAUACUGGAAAUAUAUACUAUAUAUAUAUUUCUCUGCAGGCAGACACUGCUCACAAUGUUUGGUCAGCAAUAGAAAAUAUCUUGAUUGCUUAGCUGGUAAGAACCAGUGACUUUGCCAGUAAAUUUGAUUGCCUUGACAAAGUGACACACGACAGGGUAGUCCAGUGCAGUGGUUAACAGCAUGAGCUGCACCACUGGCAGUACCAGGGAAAGACAAUUCAGUUUCACUUCCUAACCCAACUCUGCAACUGCAGGAUGAUAAAGGAGAUCCGUGAUUGCAGUGAUCUGUAAUUUCAACCACAGAAUAUGUAAAACUAUCGUCCAGCAAAAAAUAGAAAAGAAGUGGCAUAUUCUAUUUAAUGGAACAUUUAUUAGUUUUUUUACUGCAUUUGUCAAAAUGACUGUUAGUGUGAUAUUGUGCUAUAAAUCUGUAUGCUAUUAUGUUUAAAAUAAUCUGUAAUAAAUUUGUCGUGCUUAUUACUAUCACCCUUUUUCUUAUCUGUUAUUUUAAAUUUUCCAUCUGUGAAUAACCAAGUAUUUAUGAGUAAGCAAUGUCAUAAAAUGCAUAAAUACUCAAA